GGAACUUUCAUUCAAGGAACUGUUGAGAAAGGACACAAAACUCCCUAUGUUUCUUUCCCAUUAAUUUUCUAGCUUGCGCCAGGAGCAGUGUCAAAGUCCCAUAAUCCCGAGUGUUUGGAAGCAGUACCUGGUGGCACAAGUCUGUUAUUCCAGACACCCAAGAGGCUCAGUGGAGAAGAUCAGAAGUUCAAGGCCUACAGGGUUUACCCAACAAGCUCAAGUGUGUAGGUAUAUGCACUUGAGUGCAGGCAGGCAUCUGAGGAAGCCAGAUCGUGAGAUACCCCGGAGCUGGAGUAACAAGCAGCUGUAAGUCAACCAACCAAGGCUCUGGACUCCAAACUUGGGUGCUCUGCAAGAAUAAUGGGACCUGUUAGCCUCUGAGCCCUAACUCCAGCCCCAGAAACUGUGACUUUUAAAAAGGCUCUGACUCACCAAGAUGAUUACCAGCCUUGCUCUGCAGGCUGUUGACCGCCAGCCUUUGCUUUCCUACCUCCCAGGCCCACCCCCACCCCUGGAAAAUUUUCUUGCCUUGUUUAUCUUUUCCUGAGCUUGCCUCUCCUACCUUAUCUCCCACCCAACCAAAGUCCCUCACACCCAUUCAGUUCAGCCAACCAGCAGCCUCUCAACUCGAUCCCUAAUUUACGUACAGGCCAGAGGCAACCAGACUCUGUGCUAGGCUUAAAAAGGCACAGUCUGGCCUGUGACUCACCUUUGAGUCCACUUGCAGGUUGUAGGGAGCUGCUUCCCACCAUCAUUAAAACUUGGUUCUACCUCA